rnacentral:lncRNA from 1 species
CCCCACGGCCUGGGGACACGUUCCCCCCUCCUGUUGUUCUGCAAAGCCACCGAGCUGGAACCAGGCAGGGACUCAGCCGCGGGAAGCCGUCCCCGCCGCGGGGCGGUGAUCGCCGGAGCCGAGCGGAAGCGUCUCACCCCGGCCACGAUCGCAAACGGAGGUGGGCAGCUCGGAGCACCCGGGAGAGCAGAUUAUCGGAGCCCUUUCAGAGAGCGCACAAC